rnacentral:misc_RNA from 1 species
UUUCCGUAGGUGAACCUGCGGAAGGAUCAUUACCGAGUAUGCCCUCUGGGGCGGACCUCCCACCCUCUGUAAACUGACCUUUGUUGCUUUGGCGGGCCGCUCAGCUACUGGCUUCGGCUAGUAAGUGCCCGCCAGAGGAAAAUAAACCCUAAUAAUUUUUGGCAUGUCUGAAAAAAACAAAAUAUUUAAAACUUUCAACAACGGAUCUCUUGGCUCUG